rnacentral:rRNA from 1 species
UACAGAGGGUGCGAGCGUUGUUCGGAAUUAUUGGGCGUAAAGGGCGCGUAGGCGGCGCGGUAUGUCACCUGUGAAAUCUCCUGGCUCAACUGGGAGCUUGCAGGCGAAACUGCCGUGCUGGAGUGUGGGAGAGGUGCGUGGAAUUCCCGGUGUAGCGGUGAAAUGCGUAGAUAUCGGGAGGAAUACCUAUGGCGAAAGCAGGCUUCUGGGCCGUCAACUGACGCUGAUCUGCGAAAGCUAGGGGAGCAAACAGG